rnacentral:rRNA from 1 species
GACAGAGGUGCCGAGCGUUAGGCGGAAUCACUGGGCUUAAAGCGUGUGUAGGCGGACCGUUAAGUACCUUGUGGAAAUCCCCACGGCUCAACCGUGGAACGGCUGGGUAUACUGGCGGUCUUGAGCGGCCUAGGGGCGAGAUGGAACAGACGGUGGAGCGGUGAAAUGCGUAGAUAUCGUCUGGAACGCCAAAGGUGAAGACAGUCUGCUGGGGGCCUGCUGACGCUGAGGCACGAAAAGCGUGGGGGAGCAAACAGG